GACGAACGCUGGCGGCGUGCUUAACACAUGCAAGUCGAACGGUAAGGCCCUUCGGGGUACACGAGUGGCGAACGGGUGAGUAACACGUGGGUGAUCUGCCCUGCACUUCGGGAUAAGCCUGGGAAACUGGGUCUAAUACCGGAUAGGACUCCUGGCUUCAUGGUUGGGGGUGGAAAGCUUUUGCGGUGUGGGAUGGGCCCGCGGCCUAUCAGCUUGUUGGUGGGGUAAUGGCCUACCAAGGCGACGACGGGUAGCCGGCCUGGGAGGGUGACCGGUCACACUGGGAGUGGGAUACGGCCCAGACUCAUACGGGAGGCAGCAGUGGGGAAUAUUGCACAAUGGGCGCAAGCCGGAUGCAGCGACGCCGCGUGAGGGAUGACGGCCUUCGGGUUGUAAACCUCUUUCAGCUAUGACGAAGCGCAAGUGACGGUAGUAGCAGAAGAAGGACCGGCCAACUACGCGCCAGCCGCCGCCGUAA
rnacentral:rRNA from 1 species